AUUGAACGCUGGCGGCAGGCCUAACACAUGCAAGUCGAGCGAGCGGCGGACGGGUGAGUAAUGUAUGGGGACUGCCCGAUAGAGGGGGAUAACUACUGGAAACGGUGGCUAAUACCGCAUACUAUCGGAUAACCCAUAUGGGAUUAGCUAGUAGGUGGGGUAAAGGCUCACCAAGGCGACGAUCUCUAGCUGGUCUGAGAGGAUGAUCAGCCACACUGGGACUGAGACACGGCCCAGACUCCUACGGAGGCAGCAGUGGGGAAUAUUGCACAAUGGGGGAAAGCCUGAUCCAGCCAUGCCGCGUGUAUGAUGAAGGCCUUAGGGUUGUAAAGUACUUUCGGCGGGGAAGCGGUACCUGCAGAAGAAGCACCGGCUAACUCCGUGCCAGCCGCCGCGGUAAUAC
rnacentral:rRNA from 1 species